AUGGCGCUCUCCUGCAUGAGCUGUCCGUCCGUUGCUAGCGGCCCCUCCGUGCGCCGACACGCGGAGAGUCCGCCCUGGUCAUCCGUCGCCUUUUCCUUUGCCAGAUGCAUUGGGAGAUCGGCGGCCGCCGCCUCAGGGUGGCGCAUUGACGCCGUCAUCGGGAACAGAGGUGGGUGCUCUCUUCUCGACUUACUCUGUUCAGCCAGGGUGUUGAUUCUCUCCGUGCUCUUGGCUUCUCCUCCUAGGUGA
rnacentral:rRNA from 1 species